UAGGGAAAAUUGGGCAAUGGACGAGAGUCUGACCCAGCCAUGCCGCGUGCAGGAAGAAGGCCUUCUGGGUUGUAAACUGCUUUUGAUCGGGACCAAAAGACUCAUGCGUGAGGAAUUGAGAGUACCGAUAGAAUAAGCACCGGCUAACUCCGUGCCAGCAGCCGCGGUAAUAAUCAC
rnacentral:rRNA from 1 species